rnacentral:rRNA from 1 species
GUUGAACGCUGGCGGCAGGCCUAACACAUGCAAGUCGAGCGAGCGGCGGACGGUGGAGUACUGUCUGGGAAACUGCCUGUUGGCUGCGGAUAACUACUGGAAACGGUAGCUAAUACCGCAUACAAUCAGCUUUGCCCAUGGGGGAUUAGCUGGUAGGUGGGGUAACGGCUCACCUAGGCGACGAUCCCUAGCUGGUCUGAGAGGAUGACCAGCCACACUGGAACUGAGACACGGCCCAGACUCCUACGGGAGGCAGCAGUGGGGAAUAUUGCACAAUGGGCGAAAGUCUGACGCAGCCAUGCCGCGUGGGUGAAGAAGGUUUUCGGGUUGUAAAGCACUUUCAGCGGGGAGGCGUUAUCCGAAGAAGAAGCAACGGCUAACUCCGUGCCAGCAGCCGCGGUAAUAC